CCAGCACAUGCACAACACCUCCCUUCUGGAUGAGGCUUUGGCAUGAGAGGCAGAUCCCAUGAAUGCUCCAUCGCGUUACCACAGCAGAGCAGCGCUUGGCAAGCUGAUGCAGGAUACUCCCUCAAGAAAACUUUGAAGGAACAGUGCUGCACGGCUGAACUAGGCAAUUACAAAUAUACCAGACACAGGGCUGAGACCCACCUCACUUCUGUUCUGCUGGAGUUCAUAGAAUCACCAAGGUUGGGAAAGGCCCACAGGAUCACCCAGUCCAACCAUCACCAACAGUUCUCAAGAGUUGCAGCACAGUGAAUCACUCCAACCUUCCCUCAAGGAGGGACAGCACAAUAGGAUCAGCCUCUUCUGCACUGCUCUGAAAUCACAAUUCAGAAAAUGGACAAAGUGGAUAAUAAAUUACUCUUCUUAUGCCAGGGAAAGGAAGGGAGUGGAAAUGGAAAAACAUCAGUGAGAAAAACCAAACAGGGCCCAAAAUUCAGAGCUGAGGAAGUCUGCAAUGGAGAAUCUAGUUGAGACAGCUGUGCUGAGGCUGACCUAACCUGGGGCUGACCAAGCAAGUUCCAUGAUGUCAUAUUUUGCUAUGAUGGGCCAUUAAAUUAAGUCGCUGGUCCAGACCUUCCUCCUGACACCUAUUAAAUCUACAGCUUUGGAGCUGGAGUUGUCAAGGUAGCACUGCAUCAGAUACCAGGGGAAUCCACGCACACUGUUACAGAAGAUUGCUGCUUGCAUAAAACCUCUUUGCUCUUUUCUUGAUUGUAUAUUCAGGAUAUAUUUUGCAGGCAUAGUCUACGAUUAGAUUAAACAAGCAAAGGAAUUAUUUAUUGCCUGUCCCACUGCACCUACUGCUUAACACCAGAUGAAACUAAAACAAUGGCUUCUGAGCUUGGGUCAAUAGUCUUCCUCUAUAGUCUACCCUCAAUUUCAAAAGCAUAGAGAAAAAAUGGUUAAUUCUACGGUGCCUGCGUUACAAAAAGGAGGAUUCAUUCAUAUUUACAGCAGCCACAAGAACUUCCAAAUAUAUAUUUUUCCAACCUGAAGGGUUUCAGUGACUUGUUCUACAUUUCCAUAGUAGACAAUAGAUCUCACAUAGCACUGUGAUCCAAUCUGCUUUUCUUUGCAGCAGGUAAUUGUAGGACGUUUUUAGGGAUACCUGUAACCUCACAACAUUGCCCUGCCUACUUCAAAAGAAGCUGUCAUCAAAAAGUAUUACCAGUCAAAAGAGUCAGUGAUGCAAUUAUCUUUUUAAACAAACCCAGAAUAGUGGAUCAAACGCACACUACUUUUGAUUAUCCUCAGUCAAGUUUUCUUUAGGGGAUUCUCUGAGCAUCUCCUUCCCCUCAUUCGAGUUAUCAAACUCUCAUUUCUAGACCUCAGAGAACACCUACACGCUCCCUUCUGCUUCCUUCUUCCCACAACCUGAAGUUAAAUGUGGAGCACUUCCUCUGCCACCACUCUUGAAGCCUCAGUGGCCCACCCAACAAUGCCACUCUGUGGCUGGACAGGUAGAGAGAUGUUCUUGCAAUACUCAUUCCUCUUGACAAAUAUCAAUUAUUGUGACCAGGUCUUUUAACAAAAUAAAUACUGACUAGCAGCUAAGAGACUGGCUACUGGCUGCUUCUCACCUCCACCAGGAGCCCUGAAGUGCAGGACAGAAUCCAGGAAAGAUUUUCUGGAAAAUGAAGAGACCCAAUAAAGCCUCUAAGCCCAGGCAAGUCAAUAAACUGUCACAGUUGCCCGGAAGGAAUUGGCUCGUCUUAGAUAAACUCACAAAGGCCCUGAAAAAACACAACUUUUUUUUUUUAAAUGGCAGAGAUUAAUUUUCUGACUUCAAAGUAGUAUUAAUGCAGAACUUGGCUAAGGUUUCCUGUGCAAGCAGUUUCCCCCCGAGCAAUGAUUUCAGAAUCCGCCUUGUUUUAAGGCUGGCAUUUGCUGCAGCUGCAGACCUGGAGUAUUUUCGAUCCCCUCUGAGUGCUGGAACACUAUCCAACAAUUAAACCACAACCCAAAAACAAUCAAACAUCUGUUUGGAGGAAGGCUGCUCAGUGACUGACAUUCUCAUGCCAGCAUAAACACGAAAGCUGCUGAGUGAUUCCUGUCUUUUGUGUAUAUAUGUAUACGUAUGCACCGCUUGUGUAUUUUUUGUUCCUGCAUGCAGAAUAUGUAAAUAUGCUUAAGAGCAUUUUUAUUGCAAUAUGUGGGUGUACUUGUAUAGCUUAUUUGUGGAAGUAUUUUCAUUGGCGUGAACACACAGAUUUGAAUGUCAGCUUGAGAUGUGGUUAUUUGUGUGCUGGAGGUGGUUUUGCAGGAGGCCAAAGCGAACGUGGAUUGGGAGUCUGCAAGCAGGUAUGUGUUUAUGCAGUGCUGCAUGUGUUGGUGUACGUUCAUGUACAGGUAUCAGCUUGAUUUCAUAUGGGCAAAAAUAGCAUUACGGCUGCAUGUAGUUUUGUGGAGAGGCAAGGAUUCUGAAGUGUUUGCAUGUGUGUGUGCACGUGGAACUGACUGCAGCAAGGUGUCUGUGCUUUCUGAUGGACAACUGUCCUAUGCCUGACCUCCACACUCUGCCUUUGAACUAAUCAGAUACUUGGGCUAUAGCAGCCGAUGUCCCUUAUUUUAAGCACCAAAAAGGGACAGACUGCUGGAAGCAGUUCAGAAUUGCGUUCAAAACAGCAGUGAGGUCUGGUCCUGAUGAAAUCCCAGCCUCCUAAAAGUACUGAUUUCAAGAACUCCCAUGGGAACACAACAGGGUAUUGAAGGAUGACUUGUUUCAAGGGCUUUGGAAACAGGAAUGAAUGCUGACAUUAGUUCUGUCUGUCUAGAGAGCAAAUUGCUCUCCUUCCUAAAAGCACUUUUCAGACUCCAUGCAGGUAACUCUUUUUGUCCUAUUUUAUUUAUAGAUUUCAAAUAAUGACGGCCUGGGUAAAGCAGUAUGCAAAUGACAUUCAUUCCCAACAGGAACUCCCUCUGUGUAAAACCAAGACCAGCUUUCAGAAAAUACAACUGUUCCCAAUCCAAGCCAAAUGACAGCUUGUGCUGCUCCCACUGGUUAUCCCCGAACCCCCAAGGUCCACAGACUGCUGCUUGCCAUUUGUGGUGUCUUUAUAUACCUAGAAAUAUGUGAGUCACCACAGCAGGUGCUAGCCAUAACCUGCUUGCCUGAAAACAUCAGUAUCAGAAGUGACAGAAUCUGGGCCACCCACUGGCUGUAUUUCUGGAGCAUCCCUCUGUCUAGGAGGGAGCAGCUGGAGAUCUUUGCUUUAGAGCAUUUAUCAAAUAUCCUGUUGCUGGAGUAUAAGAACACGCCAUCACAGGAAAGACAGACUUGAUGAUCUUCCCACUGUGAGCCCCACAGCUUAACUUAUUGUUGUAGGCUCCUAAUCUUUUGCACCAGCCCUAUUUUUCUUUUCAGCAGUUUAAGCUGAAAAAGUUUACUAGAUAAUAGAUUUGCCUCAGAAAUCACAGGAGGUUCUAUUCCUUAGCAGUUAAGCCAGAGUAAGGCAUGGAGUGCAGUAGAAAAGCACAGAGAAAUGGUAUUCUCCUGCCAUGCCCCCUGCCCAGGUACGCUUCCAUUUGAACUCUUGCAAACACCAGACUACAGCAUUGGUUAGGAUGCUUUAGCAGAUCUGGCGCUGAUGACACGAGACGCAGGCAGGCUGAGCCCUUCCCCCUGCCCUCAUGCUGGCCAUUUCAGUGCUAUUCCAGGACGAGCUCCUGGAACUCAGCAAUGCAAAGAUGACAUAAGUGCAAUGUUCAGAGGUUAAAGCUUCCAUCCAUUUCUGAUACUCCUCA
ensembl:lncRNA